ensembl:lncRNA
AGUGUGCGUGUGCAUGUGGGGGAGUGAUGCUCCUCCUCCGAGCUUCAUAACCGAGUGUCGCUGCUGCCGCCGGUCAGUGAGGCGCUGCUGAGCCCGAGAGAUGACGACAGGCUGUGUGAGGCCGACCCUGGAGCCUGAACAUGGACCGAUGACACAGGAAGGCAAACGCUGUAAGCACAAUGAGGCGGGCCUGAUGGACAGGAAGUCUGAGAUGCAGGACGAUAAAGGGGACAAGGAGUGCAAAGAGAAGCAGGCGGACCAGAAGAAACCUCGCAGGAAAGACACGCCCAUCCUCCACUGUCCUCCACAUAUACCAGGAGUGACGCUGCUGAAAGCACAGAAGCAGAUGGUCCACGUAGAGGACGAGGAGAAAGACGUGAAGGAAUAAAACUUUUAUUUCCCUUUUAUUCUGUCAAUGAAUUGUCACGGUUUGAGUUCAUGUGCAGUUUUAUUUUGUAGUUUCUUGUCUCCCUGGGUAACGUCACUUCCUGCCUUGUCCUGGCUGUCCCCCGUGAUUGACUGUCGUGUCAUGAUUGUUUCCAGCUGUUUCCAAUCACCUGCACCUCCCAAGUGUAUCUAGGUCAUGUGUGUUUGUUGUCACUGGUCGCGUCAUUGUUAGUUGUUCGUUAGCUCAUGUCCAUGUCACAGUUGUUGUGGUUUCUCGACUACGUUUUACCUUCUUGGAAUUUUUGAGUUUUGGAAUUUUUGACUAUUAAAGUCUGGAAAACUCUGCGUCUGAGUCCUACCUUCCCCAACGUACCGUCCAGACAGAAUGACGCGACCAGAAGAGGAGGCCAUCUCGUGGCCACCUACGCUCUCCACGCUCGGCCUCAGCGCACGACGUCCAGCGCUGGGCCGCAGCAGCUUCCCAACACGGCCUCCCGACCCAAGCCCAUGACCCCCCCCAGCCGACGCCCCGAUCCAGGCCCACGACUCUGGUACGGACCCCCGAUUCAAUCCCACGACUCCUGUACCGGCUCCCAGAUUCAAUCCCACGACUCCCGUUCCGGCCCCUCCACUAAAGCCCCCUCCCACCUGUCCCGUGGUCCCCUCCCCCCCAUGGCAGGGGUUGGACCGGCGUCCCAGUGCCCAGCCUCCGUGUCCUGCAGCCGGCGACUCCGGAGGCUUUAUGUGCCGCGCAGUCGGCAACGACUCCGGCUUCCCUCGCCGCGCAGCCGGCAACGACGGCUUCCCGUUCCAGUGUCCUGCAGUCGGCGCCCGGGAGCCAGACUCCUGACCGUCCUCCGGGCCGACCCCCGGAGCCCCCCCCGGCAGUCUGACCGCCCGCCGGGCCGCCCGCCAGGGUUCUCUGGUGUCCCUCCCGCCCCUUGUCUGUUCCUUGCCAGGUUAGGGCCAUCUGGAAUUUGGCCCUUGAGGGGGGAGUUCUGUCACGGUUUGGGUUCAUGUCCGGUUUUAUUUUGUAGUUUCUUGCCUCUUGUCUCCCUAGGUCACGUCACUUCCUGCCUCGUCCUGUCGCCAGUGAUUGUCUGUCGCGUCAUGAUUGUUUCCAGCAAUUUCCAAUCACCUACCCCUCCGUGGUAUUAACGCCAUGUGUGUCACGUCAUUGUUAAUUGUGCGGAAGCCCAUGUCCACGUCAUAGUUCCUGUCUCCUGUUCCUCAACUACGUUUUGCCUUUCUGGAAAUUUGAGUUUGGAUUUUUUGACUAUUAAAGUCCCUUUUUGUUUCUGGAAAACUGCGUCUGAGUCCUACCUUUACCUCCUCGCACCUUCCUGACAUGAAUGUUGUUUUAUCUUAGCUUCCUG